UUUUGAUUUAAUGUUCUCAUACAAGCUGGUUGAUGCUUUGGGUUAUUUCAAAAGAUUUUGCUUAUUUUUUCAAUAAUAACUGCUUUCUUUUAAUUUCAUAAAGUUCGAAUAAACCCUAAUUUUCUGGAGACGAACCUAAUAUUUCCUCCAGCAAGAAUCAUAUCCAUUCACAUUUUCUUUAUUAUUGUUAUUAUUAUGAAAUGACUCUAAAGUUUUACUAGAUUUAUGUGUCGGCAGUUGGAUUAAAUGUUACAUUGAUUUAAUUAAGCUGAUUUCAGGUACUCAUAUGAAAAUAUUAGGUUUUAUAUCUUUGAUUAGUCUUUGUGUUGAUAUAUGGUCCUUUCAGCUCUAUUGCUGAUCAUGUUGAUGCUUUCAUUAUAAUAAAAGAUUUUGCCAAUUAUUGUUAUAAUUAUCAUCUUCCUUUGAUUUUAUCUAGGUGCCUUGAACUUUAGGAGGCUCUGAUAAGCCAUCAAGUAAUUACUAGUCAAGGAAUACAAGAGUGAGUUUUCAUGAGAAACUGAGCCUUUAACUCUAGGUGGUUCUAGUAAUUUAUCAAGUAAUUAAUAGCCAAACGAUUCGAGAGUGACUUUUCAUGUAAACAUUGAGCCUCAAUCCAGAAAUCAGCAAACUGUUAUUGGUUUUUACAAAAUUUAGGUUUUUUUUAUUCUCGCAAAUGCCCUUUGUUCUUUCUCAUGUUUCCACCUGUCUAGAUUCUUGGUUUAAUUUUUGUUUUGUCUUUAGUUUAAUCUUCUAACUGUAAGUUUGCAUCUUCAUCAUUUUUGGGUAAAAACAAUGCCGUGCUCUUUGAAGAUACCAUUCGUUAGGGUUUUCAGUCUCCCUUAUUUAAGGUAGUUUUCGGUGUUAUCAUGUCACAUUGUGAGCUCUAGUUAUUUACGUCUCAAUUAAAUUAGUUUAUCUUCACAUAAUACUUGCCUUUUCAGACUUCGUCACAGUGCACGCCUUGAAGUUUCUUCUUGGAUAGUUCUUACCUGGAAAUUUUUUGUUAGAUCUCUUGAUAACUUUGAGAGGUAAAAUUUCCAGUUUACUUUACAUCUUUUAUACCUUCAGUAUUUCCAUUGUCUUAGUUUGAAAAGGUAACCCUAUUGUUUUUAUCUAUAAGAGAUCACUAGUUUCAGGCCCGUGCGAUGCACGGAUUUGUUUAAUAUAUAAAAAUUAAUGUAGCAAAAGAAUGCAAAGUAAAAUAGUAAUAAUAUAUAAGUAGUCAGAAAUGAUACAACCUAAGUUGCAUAUAUACUUUGAAAAAUUAGAAAGUCUGGAAAACUUGAAUCAGUUUAAGAUCAUAUAUAGUUUGAAAAAUGUAAUUGUGUAAAAACGGUAUUCAGAAAUAUGGUGAGAGUUAUUUUAUUAUUUAGAAGGUAGAAAAAAAUUCAAAAUUAAAGUAAAAUGUUAAAAAAGUACCAAAAAUGGGUAAACUUAAAAAAAUUGAAAAAAAUGAAAGGUUUGGAAAAAAUGUAAAUAUGGGAAAAUAAUAUUUGAACAUUUUUUGCGAGUCAUAUCAAUAUUUAAACCGUUAUAACUUUCCAAAUAAAUUGGUAAAAUAAAAGUGUAAUGUCAAAAAACAAAGAAAAUAUAAUACCUAUCAUAUAAGGGGUGUAUGACAUCCACCUGACGAAAAUAAGAGACAAUGUAAUACCUAAAUCAAAUAAAGUCUGUGUAAAAAAAUUGUAUAUGAUUGCAAUUUAAGAACAUCAUCAAACCAUAAGAAUACGGCAUAAGAAGUACUCAAUUAGUUAAAUAAAAUAUAACUUUCACAUUCUCUAUAUAAACAUAAGAAAGAACAAAAAUAUUGAAGUGAAAUGCAUUGCCAUUGGAGAAAAAUAACAAAACAUAAUAUAAGAGAAAUACAUUCUAGUAAGAUUAUAUUGAGUUCAUCACUUACCAAUAGUAAAGAUAAACAAAGAAACAAACUGAUCUGAAACAGAAAAAAUAUAAUUAUAUAGAAAGAAAAGAAAAAUACACUUGUAUUCAAUAAGAUACAUGAAUUAAAAAAAUAACAUUUUAGUUUGUCAAACAUGCACACAAGCAUGCACCACUACAUACACAUAUAUUACAGGAUACGCUCAGAUAGAGCUAACAAAUUUAUCCAAAACUUAAAAUCACAUUAGAAUAAUUUCAUGCUAUGAAUUAGCCGAAAAGGGAAAAUUUUCCAGCGUGAGGUGAGUGAAAUAAUUAGAGGUGAAGAAAUAAAAAGGGGUGAGGAGGCGGGUGAAAGGCUAAUAUGGGUAUUUGUCAUUUUUGCCAUGUGUCAUUUUUGCCAGGUGGCGUUUUCAAGGGUAUGUGUCAUUUUUUGCCAAGUGGCGUUUUCAAGGGUAAGAGUUUUUAGUAAUAGAUAUAGACAAGUGGUGUUUUCAAGGGUAAGAGUUUUUAGUAAUAGAUAUAGAAAAUGCAUUGCCAUUGGAGAAAAAUAACAAAACAUAAUAUAAGAGUAAUACAUUCUAGUAAGAUUAUAUUGAGUUCAUCACUUACCAAUAGUAAAGAUAAAUAAAGAAACAAACAGAUCUGAAACAGAAAAAUAUAAUUAUAUAGAAAGAAAAGAAAAUUACACUUGUAUUCAAUAAGAUACAUGAAUUAAAAAAAUAAAAAGUUAGUUUGUCAAACAUGCACACAAGCAUGCAUCACUACAUACACAUAUAUUACAGGACACGCUCAGAUAGAGCUAACAAAUUUAUCCAAAACUUAAAAUCACAUUAGAAUAAUUUUAUGUUAUGUAGCCGAAAGGGGAAAAUUUUCCAGUGUGAUGUGUGAAAUAAUUAGAGGUGAAGAAAUAAAAAAGGGUGAGGAGGUGGGUGAAAGGGGAUGUGGGUGAAAGGCUAAUAUGGGUAUGUGUUAUUUUUGCCGUGUGUCAUUUUUGCCAGGUGGCGUUUUCAAGGGUAUGUGACAUUUUUGCCAAGUGCCGUUUUCAAAGGUAAGAGUUUUUAAUAAUAGAUAUAGAUGUGUCAUUUUUGCCAGGUGGCGUUUUCAAGGGUAUGUGACAUUUUUGCCAAGUGGCGUUUUCAAAGGUAAGAGUUUUUAAUAAUAGAUAUAGAUUUCUCAAACUGUCAUAUGAGAGUACAUACAUCUAUUAUGCAUGAAAAGUUUUGCUAUCAUCGGCACCAGUGGUCUAGUGGUAGAAUAGUACCCUGCCACGGUACAGACCCGGGUUUGAUUCCUGGCUGGUGCAAUUCAAUUUUUUCUUCUGAAAUUAAAAAUUUCAGGUAAUAAUUUCUAAAAUUGCUUUAUCUUAUCUUGCAUUUUAUUCCCUGCUGUGCUUACCUUUGUAAAGCAGCAAUAUAUCUUUCACCUUAAUCCGCAUUAAAUUCUCAACAAGUAUUUUGUCUUUUUUAUUUGCAAAACAAUGCCCUACUACAUUAGUGGCAGUACCACCUCAAAUUUGAGUUCCCUUAUUUGUUCUUCUCCUUAUUAGUUGUACCCACAGCUGAUUUCAUUGAGACUCUUUGGCAAGCACUUGAGUACUGGUGCCUUUCAGUCUUCUUUACCAUGGAUUUUCUGCUCAUCAAGAAACGGAUUUUAUCCCAAUCUGGAUACACCAUUAAGAGUGCACUGGUGAGCAGUGCAGAGACUCAAGCUGCACUUGUAAUUUAAAUGAUAAAGAGGUUAGAAACAUAUUGACUAGUUACUGCUUAGUAUAACCUAAAUAAGUAAAUUUCAUAAUGCAAUUUGUGACAGGGCUUCCUUGUGGUGUUGGUAGCCUAGUUUUUCUCAAAAAAACAUACACCAGCUGCGGUAGUUUUUUGCCUCCAAAAACAAGUGCAUCUGCAGUCUCCCAACCUACCGAAGACUGUUUGGCAUAUUUCUGAACCCUUCAUGCAUGUUACUAUUAAGUUUUGUUCCCUGCUAUCAAAAUGAUUGCUUGAUCCUAGCAUGAAAUGGAAACAGGAGACAAUAUAAUUAUAUUCUUAUUGUAUGUUUAUUAACAGGCUCUUGUGUUUAAUUAGCUUGCAUCAAAGAAGACUAUCUUGUUUAUUGAUCUUUUUGAUGAAUUUCAUCAAAUCUUUGUGGUAACUGGACACCAAAAAGCUUCUUUCGAACUGAGGGUCCAUCAGGAAACAUGUGGUGAUCAACUUCUUGAUUCAACAUGAAGGUGCUUUGAUGAGCACUGUAGAGAUUAAAACCUGCAUCAGUUGUAGAUCCUAAAGAUAAUAGGUUGCGUCUCUUGAGAGACAUGCAUAGACCUGCCAAGAUGUUGAAGUCCUUUGCCUUCAACAUCGAGUGUGCCUGCGCUCCCCAAAUGUAUCUGCAAGAUGUUAGGGAUAUUUCUGAAGCCUCGGUCCAUAUCUAGUUGUAAGUUUUGAUGCUAUCAAUUUAGAUCGCCAUCGAAAGCAACUGCGCAUAGAAGAAUCUGUAGUACAAGGACCUCACCUUCGUGGCCCUUGUGUCAAUGUUAUACUUGUAGAUGGCACCCACCUUCUUGUAAACUCUGCGAGAUGAUAUCAAACAGGAGAACCGAUGCACCGUCAUCUGCAGCUUCUGUGCCCACAGAAUAAGAUUCUGGAGGAACAAUGUUGUUAGGAGCUACCUUCUGUGUCUGUGUAUCUUUAGCUUUCUUGCAAAUCUUUUAACCUCUGUACAUGUUGAAUGCAGUUGGAUGAUUAUCUUGUCUGCAGGAUAUACCAUUGUCAUGGAGCAAGAGAAGCUGCAUCUUAAGCGGCUAAGGAAAACAACCACUGAAGAAGAGAGCAUGACCUGACUCUGAACAUAUUAUUUUCUUCAGAGGCAAAUCAAGCAACCUGAACCAAGCAAACAAACCACUUACCCUUCUGCAGCUAUGACCUAUCUAUCUUUCUUUGUGUAGCUCUUGUCAUUAACCUCCACAUUCUUUUUCUUCUUUCAAAACCCUUUGGGUCCUUUUUUUUCUCUGUCUUCCUUCUUUGCCUUUGGUUUCCUCUAGCUAUCUUAACAGCUGCAGCUUCAAGAGGGACCAGAACAUGCUAUAUUCAUGCACUUUUGAGCCUUAGGAGGAUAUAGCCAUAGAUGGGCUGGAGGCUUAACCACACCUACUACACCGGUUAUUCUUGCAUCAAAGAAUACCGCAAUCUUCGAAGAGUGUUGCAAUGUUGGUGCUUCUUGUCAUAGUUGUGGCCGAGCUCCAACUAGUGCUGCUGAUGGCAAUAGGAGGUAGCCUGUACUUUCAUUUCGGCAGAGUACUCCUCCUCUGAGAUAAGAUAGAGAAAGGGAGCAUAAUUAUGGCAGGAAGAAAGCUAAAUUGAGUGGACAGAGAUGCAAUGAUUGUUCAAUGUUGAGAUAGGGUAAAUAUCUUGGUGGCCCCUGAGUUUGUCAUAUGGUCAGUGGUGAGUUGUAUCUGCUUAUUAACCGGGAUGAGUCCGAGAUACGACUAGACUUUUUGCUACUUCAGUUUUCAGGUGCACUUGAUGUUGAAGGCAAAGAACUAGCUAGGCUUGCGUGUGUCUCUCGACAGAAGCGACCUGCAUAUCAGAACCACAAGAAAGCUGCAGCCAUGAAUGCAUUGGUGCGCCUUACAGUAUGAGAAUUUGCUUAUUUGGAUUGUACUAACUACUAAGUUGUCCACAUGUUUCUGACCUUUUAUAUUUAGAUUCAUGAUUGCAGGUGCUGUGCUUUGAUGUGAGCUAAUAAAACUCAAGAACUUGUUAACUAAACAUUAUAAAGCUUUUAACUCAAUACUACAGACUUUGAGACUC